rnacentral:rRNA from 1 species
ACGCUCGACACCUACGGGAGACAGCAGUGAGGAAUAUUGGUCAAUGGGCGCUAGCCUGAACCAGCCAAGUAGCGUGAAGGAUGAAGGCUCUAUGGGUCGUAAACUUCUUUUAUAUAAGAAUAAAGUGCAGUAUGUAUACUGUUUUGUAUGUAUUAUAUGAAUAAGGAUCGGCUAACUCCGUGCCACAGCCGCGGUAAUCUGAGCGGGCUGGCAAGGC